rnacentral:rRNA from 1 species
GUGGGGAAUAUUGGACAAUGGGCGAAAGCCUGAUCCAGCCAUGCCGCGUGUGUGAAGAAGGUCUUCGGAUUGUAAAGCACUUUAAGUUGGGAGGAAGGGCAGUAAGUUAAUACCUUGCUGUUUUGACGUUACCGACAGAAUAAGCACCGGCUAACUACGUGCCAGCAGCCGCGGUAAUACGUAGGGUGCAAGCGUUAAUCGGAAUUACUGGGCGUAAAGCGUGCGCAGGCGGUUAUAUAAGACAGAUGUGAAAUCCCCGGGCUCAACCUGGGAACUGCCUCCAAAACUACUGAGCUAGAGUACGGUAGAGGGUAGUGGAAUUUCCUGUGUAGCGGUGAAAUGCGUAGAUAUAGGAAGGAACACCAGUGGCGAAGGCGACUACCUGGACUGAUACUGACACUGAGGUGCGAAAGCGUGGGGAGCAAACAGGAUUAGAAACCCCAGUAGUCC